rnacentral:tRNA from 1 species
UUGAAUUUAGUAAACAAACAAAUUAUAUCUUAUUUUUAAUGAAAAAAGUUAAUCUUAU